UUGAACGCUGGCGGCAUGCUUUACACAUGCAAGUCGAACGGUAACAGGCCUUCGGGUGCUGACGAGUGGCGAACGGGUGAGUAAUGCAUCGGAACGUACCCAGAGGUGGGGGAUAACGCAGCGAAAGCUGUGCUAAUACCGCAUGUGAUCUGAGGAUGAAAGCGGGGGACCGAGCAGCAAUGUUUGGCCUCGCGCCUUUGGAGCGGCCGAUGUCGGAUUAGCUAGUUGGUGGGGUAAAGGCCUACCAAGGCGACGAUCCGUAGCUGGUCUGAGAGGACGACCAGCCACACUAGGACUGAGACACGGCCCAGACUCCUACGGGAGGCAGCAGUGGGGAAUUUUGGACAAUGGGCGCAAGCCUGAUCCAGCAAUGCCGCGUGCGGGAAGAAGGCCUUCGGGUUGUAAACCGCUUUUGGCAGGAACGAAACGGUGUCCGCUAAUACCGGGCGCUAAUGACGGUACCUGCAGAAUAAGCACCGGCUAACUACGUG
rnacentral:rRNA from 1 species